UGGGAAAGAGACUGGAAGGAGACACAGCCAGGAUAGUUGACCUAACUGGAUGAAGAUAUAUCCAUAUCACACAGCAUCAUGUUCAGCAACAAAACAGGGGGAAUAAGGAGGGAAGAGAGUCCUCCAAGAAAGAAAAUGGAGGAGGAAACACUGAUGACCUGUGACUCCAGAAUAUUGCUCUAUACUCAGUAAUGAACCUGCUUCUGGAUGGAGAGAUGGGAUUUGGGAAACACUGAGGAACCUCUCCCAGAAGAACAUGAUUUGCCACGGGAUGGACAUUGAGUGUAAAUCGCUGUCCUUAAAUCUCAGACCUGUAACAAGCUCCUGGCCCACCCACUCUAAUUCGGCUGAUGCUGAAUUGUCAUAUCCUAGAGGUUUUCUUUGAAUUUUUUAGUUUGCUUUUGGACAUAGAGGCUCUUAACUAAUUAAGAACAACUCUUAAGAUUGAGGUACCUGUUGGUGAUACCCAGUUAAGCUUGCAUCACUUUCACCAAAGACUGUGGGUAAAAAUUUGGCCUCACAGAAAUUACUGCAUAAAACUCCCAUGAGGGAGGCUGAGAUCUUGUCCCAUAAGAACAGACAAAGGUCAACGGCCCUUAGCAGCCUUUUCAUUUGCCAAAAGAAGGCCUAAAUCCUUAAUUUCAUUCAAAAUUUGCACCUAUAGAUAGAUUAGUAGUUUAGCUAACACCUAAAACUUGCAACAUAUUUUUGCUGUCUGACAAAGAAUCCUGGAGUCUGGAGAAAGGCUAAUGCAGUCGAACAGUAACAAAUUAUUUAUAAAUGAGCAUCAGGCCUUGUGUUGCCUUGCCAAGGCCUGCUUGGAAAUGCCCAUCAAUCACCUUUAACUGGUGUGCCUAAUCUCCCACUUCAAUUUAAGGGCCUUUUUCAUCUUUUUUUCCUGUAAAUAUACCGAGUUUUUGCCUCCUCACAGAGGAACUGGUGAAGGUCAAACAUCAGUCCCUCUUUUUAUACUGGACGAUUUAAAGUCUAUAACGAUGAACUCUAUAUUGAAUGCUUUUCUUAGUUCAAGAUGUUUCUAACUUGGGCUUUUCACAAACUGUUAUUGAUCUCCGCCUCCAAACCAGUAAAUCCUUUCGUGUAGUAAUUCCAUAAAUACAGCAGAGUUGGGAAGGCUUUGAAUGUUCAUUUGAUCAAAAAGAUCCAAAUCUGUCAGAUAAAUCUAUAGCUCUUGGUGGCAGCUUUGAAGGUGUUCAAUCAUCUUUCCUCGGACACUAAAUGAAAUGCCUUGAGUUCAUGUUUAAUUUUUCUUGCUGUGCUUCCAUGACAUCUGUCUUAAGUAUAUUGUCCUCAGGUGACUGUUAAUUCAAUAUAGUUUGCAUUUCUCAUUACGAGAAAGAGGUUAUCCACUUAAUAAAUUUAACUAACUCUUUUCUCUUCUUUUAAUUAAUGGUCACAGACAGAUAUUUCAGGAGGAUGGAGGAAGUAGAAUAAUUACCUGAAUAUGCCUAAUGUCUUCCUGUAAAGUUCUUUAAAAACUGGGUUAGUAACCUCUAAUUCCUAUUUAUUUGGACUAUUUAUAAUAAAGCCCAUAAGAAUCUCCCUUGAAAAUAUUUGGAUUGGGUGAAAUUGACUUCUUACAGGCACAAAAAGAGGCAGCACUGGCUACUAAUUUAGAUGUAGGGUCUGAAACUGAUUGCCAAGCGCUCUUCUUGGCUCCUUGUUCUUUAGCUGCUUGGCAAUUUGGGAAAAGUAGCUGCCUCAACAAUUAUAGCUGGAGGGACUUCUUCAAUUUGGUAAUAGAUGCCUGUAUUCUGUCUGUAAUCUCUGUAUUUUUACUGGUAACAUAAUUGUCCUGCUACCUGGAGUAUGUCCUUUCUUCGCUCUAUAAGGUGUGGAAACAAUAUUACAGAGAUGAGGAUAAGGGGUGUUUUUCUGCAGAAAUGAACUGUCAUCAGAUUCAGAAUAUAUCUCUUUUAUUGCACAUCGUUUUAUCAUGCACUACAAUAAAUGUUCAAAAACACAUCAUGCAAAGUAUCUCUCAAUGACACGUACAAAUCAAAAACUCCUUACUCUAUUAGGCAUUAAAAACAUCUAUUCAUUAGUGAUACUAGUUUUUACGGCAUUUUAUAACUUUCCUUAUUUCUGAGGCCUC